rnacentral:rRNA from 1 species
ACGCUGGCGGCGUGCUUACACAUGCAAGUCGAACGAUGAAGUUUAGUUUACUAAAUGGAUUAGUGGCGCACGGGUGAGUAAUAUAUAGUUAAUCUGCCUCUUAGUCUGGAAUAGCCAUUGGAAACGAUGAUUAAUACUAGAUACUCCUUCUCUAUCUAAUUAGAGUUGGGAAAGUUUUUCGCUAAGAGAUGAGACUAUAUCCCAUCAGGUAGUUGGUAGUGUAAGAGACUACCAAGCCAAUGACGGGUAGCGGGUUUGAGAGGAUGAUCCGCCACACUGGUACUGAGACACGGACCAGACUCCUACGGGAGGCAGCAGUGAGGAAUAUUGCACAAUGGGGGAAACCCUGAUGCAGCAACGCCGCGUGGAGGAUGACGCAUUUCGGUGUGUAAACUCCUUUUAUCAAGGAAGAAAAUGACGGUACUUGAUGAAUAAGCACCGGCUAACUCCGUGCCAGCAGCCGCGGUAAUACGGAGGGUGCAAGCGUUAUUCGGAAUCACUGGGCGUAAAGGACGCGUAGGCGGGAAGCCAAGUCUGAUGUGAAAUCCUAUGGCUUAACCAUAGAACUGCAUUGGAAACUGGUUACCUAGAGUAUGGGAGGGGGAGAUGGAAUUAG